UGUAAGCGUAUACCAAAGUUGUUGCAGUUAAAACGCUCGUAGUCGGAAUUUGGCAGUUCCGGAUGUGUGCACGUCGUGUGCGCACUUCGCGGGGAUUGCUUUUGUGGUCUUGCGUAGGAUGAGGCACUUUUAUUAGUGAACGUCCUCACGCAACCACUUUUUACUGUGAGAAAAUCAGAGUGCUCAAAGCAGGCAUUUGCUGUGAAUGUAUUAGCAUGGAAUAAUAGAAUAGGACUUGGUUCUAUUUUGUUGGUUUGUUGGGACUGAGUAAUGAUUAAGAGGGACAGUUGGGGGCAUUUGUAUUUCGGUGCUAGAGGUGAAAUUCUUAGAUUACCGAAAGACAAACUGCCGCGAAAGCGUCUGCCAAGGAUGUUUUCAUUGA
rnacentral:rRNA from 1 species